UACGUAGGGUGCAAGCGUUGUCCGGAAUUAUUGGGCGUAAAGAGCUCGUAGGCGGUUCGUCGCGUCGGCUGUGAAAACCUGAGGCUCAACCUCAGGCCUGCAGUCGAUACGGGCAGACUAGAGUGCGGUAGGGGAGACUGGAAUUCCACGUGUAGCAGUGAAAUGCGUAGAGAUGUGGAGGAACACCGAUGGCGAAGGCGGCGACCUGGGCCAAUAUUGACGCUGGAGGUGCGAAAGCGUGGGAGCAAACAGG
rnacentral:rRNA from 1 species